CUCCCGCCUCCCUCCCACGGCACACCAGGCAAGGUCUCACGGCACACCAGUGUGCCGCGGAACACCGGUUGGGAAACACUGAUGUAAAGGCUAAGAAUAAUGUAUUAAUGUUUUCCUUUUUAUUUAUCAUCAAGCAAGCACUACUAUAGCUGUUCUUUGCACUGACUGUUUUUGAUGCCCAUAAUUCCCAUACAAUGCUGGGACCUCACAGCGAUAAAUGGAUCCCAAGACUGAAGUGUUAUGGUAGGCUAUGACAUUAUAAAGUGUGCUGUCCUUCUGCACACAUGUUUGCCUGGGGCACAAAUGUAUGACAUAUUAUUCUCCCAAGGACCAAGAUGAUUAUCUUAAAGCAAGACAUCACAGGUAAAGUAAUUAUCUCAAAGAAAGACAUUUGGUUUAGAAGAGCAUAACCUUAGAAUCAGGUUUGCCGUUUGAAGGUGAUUCUGGAACCAGCCAUGCUCCUGAGUGAUCAUGCAGUAGUGGAGUGCCCUCUUUGCUAGUUCCAGUUGGUUCCCUUUUUGUGAAAAUCCUGGCCUAACUUCAUUCAUUCUCCUGUUCUAGUCACUUCCAGGUUGCAUUAUUGCAAUACAUCUGGGGAUGUUUAGGAAGACAGUUAAGAAAAUUAAAUGGGUUCAGACUGCCACCACCAUAAUAUUAAGUGAAGCCGGAAGGUCACAAUUAUAACUCUCCUAAAAAAGAGAGAGAGAAUUAUAACAUCUGCUCUGGUUUUCAGACUUAACUUAAGGUGCUGUUUUUUAUCUUUAUGGCACAGGAAUAAUCUCUGCCCAUAUUAAACUGCCUCCUCAUUUAAGCCACAUUGCUCUUGAAUCAUGUCACCAAAAUAGAUUAUUUCCGAAUACCACACUGGGUCUUGUAUUCCCAGUUGUUCCUCCCUUAAUCUUGUAGUUUUAUGUUACUUUGUGCCAAAGUCCAACCCCCUGCAAUGCAGGAAUCUUUUUGCCCAAUGUGGGGCUCGAACCCAUGACCUUGAAAUUAUGAGUCUCAUGCUCUUAAUAACUGAGCAAUCCCACUGGCUAUAUACCAGAUAAAAUGGGUCAGGCAGCCAUGAAAUAUUCUUACUAUUGAGUAUAUUUAUUAUUAUUUAUUAAAAUUUAAGACCUCACUCUACACCUUUGUUUAAAAUACAGUUGUUUUAAUAAAAAUAAGACUUUGGCCUAGAUUCAGCUAACUCUGCAUUUUAGCAGAGGUCAGUCCAAGGGCUCCUGCUAAUGCAACAGGGCUUUUCUUCUCCUCCUCCUGUCCACGCAUUUCCCCAAAUUCACCUGGGAGAGUCAGGAGAACCCUCAGCACAGCAUGCAGGGGAGGAGAGAGGAGGUUGUUCCUCUUGGCAAACAGAACUGCUUGCGCCAAAUGAUUAGAAGACGGUGAUGCUGAAUUUCUCCCAUUACCUUUAACUUUUAUCUGCCUUUUCCUGGGUCUUUCACCUAUCAGCUGACUUACAUCAAGCAAUUAUAGGCUUGCGUUGGGAGAUAGGGUUAUUGCUGUCCCAGCCCCUGUAACCUUUGCUGGAAAUGCUGUGUAAUAGAGAAGGAAUGGAACUCUCUGAACUAAAGAUAACAAGAUUUUUCUUUCUUUCUUUAAAGGCCAGGCCAGCAAUUCUUUCUUUCCUCUGGCAAGAAACUGCUCUUGUUAAUGAGUGGAUGCUCUGCAUUGAGGGAUGUCUGACCGGCAUCCUGAUCAUCUUAUCAAAUGCUAAUGUUUUGUGUAAACUGUGUCUGGAACUAUGUAAAACUUGCUAAAUCCUCAGGAAUAUCACAGCUUGGCCUGUCUGAGCCACAGUAACCUCACCUUGUGUGUGAUAUAAUUUCUGAAUGUUUGUAGAGGGGAUGUGCUUCUUCUCUACGACAAAAUGCAAACCUUUAAAAGUGAUGUUUCUUCUUGGUUCUGGGUCUCUCUUGCCUCCUUGCAAGGAGUGGAGGGAACUCUGUUGCAACAGAAAAAUAAAGAUCUGUCUUGGUUUCA